rnacentral:rRNA from 1 species
AGAGUUUGAUCCUGGCUCAGAGCGAACGUUAGCGGCGGGCUUAACACAUGCAAGUCGCACGAGAAAAGGGCUUCGGCCCCGAGUAAAGUGGCGGACGGGUGCGUAACACGUGGAUAAUCUGCCCUUCAGCGGGGGAUAACUGUCCGAAAGGAUAGCUAAUACCGCAUACGUCGGUCGGGACUACGGUCCUGGUCGGGAAAGUAGGCCUCUCCAUGGAAGCUUACACUGAAGGAGGAGUCCGCGGCCCAUCAGCUUGUUGGCGGUGUAAAAGACCACCAAGGCUAAGACGGGUAGCUGGUCUGAGAGGAUGAUCAGCCACACUGGGACUGAGACACGGCCCAGACUCCUACGGGAGGCAGCAGUGGGGAAUAUUGGGCAAUGGGCGCAAGCCUGACCCAGCCACGCCGCGUGAGUGAUGAAGGCCUUCGGGUCGUAAAGCUCUGUGGGAGGGACGAAAAACCGGGGGCUAAUACCCCUCGGACUGACGGUACCUUCCUUAGCAAGCACCGGCUAACUCCGUGCCAGCAGCCGCGGUA